GCACCGUAACAACAAAACGAAGAC
rnacentral:miRNA from 1 species